rnacentral:lncRNA from 1 species
GCUGCAGGCCGGGAGGUCGAGAGAGACUUUGCCUCCGUGUAUUCCCGUCUGGUGCUCUGUAAGACCUUCAGGUUGGAUGAAGAUGGCAAAGUCCUGACCCCGGAGGAGCUGCUCUACCGGGCUGUGCAGUCUGUGAACGUGACCCACGAUGCAGUGCAUGCACAAAUGGAUGUGAAGCUCCGCUCACUGAUCUGCGUGGGGCUCAAGUGAGUGUGGAAAAGGGGUUGGAGGAGAGCCCUGGAGUGGGGGGACCCAGCCCAGCAUCAGGGGGGGUCCUUACAGGGAACCCUAAAGGACAAAGAACCUCAGGGGCUCAGGUCCUUCCCCAAAGAGGGUGGUCUGGGAGCUGCUGAGAGACAGGUCAGAGGCUUCCACCGUGGCUGCAGCCAGAAGGGCCUGGAGCUGCCCCUGCUCCCCACUCCUGGCCAUGUCCCCAGUGAGCAGGUGCUGCACCUGUGGCUGGAGGUGCUCUGCUCCAGCCUGCCCACCGUGGAGAAGUGGUACCAGCCCUGGUCCUUCCUGCGCAGCCCGGGCUGGGUCCAGAUCAAGUGUGAGCUCCGAGUCCUCUGCUGCUUUGCCUUCAGCCUCUCCCAGGACUGGGAGCUCCCUGCGAAGAGAGAGGUGGGUGGUGUGGGCCUCGUAGGGCCUGCACUGAUGGAGCUGCCCAAACCGUUCGCGGGGUGGCUAAGGUGGGAACCCGAAGUGCUGGUGUCAGCGGUUAGGAACUACCCCAGCCAUGCCCAAGGCCUGUGAGGUGAGGGGCUGCCCUGUUUGCAGGCGCAGCAGCCCCUGAAGGAGGGCGUCCGGGACAUGCUGGUGAAGCACCACCUCUUCAGCUGGGAUGUGGACGGGUGACCCCCUCCUCCCCAGCCCAACCUCGG